UUGUUCAAUUUUAACGGCUCUCCGUGUGUUUUGCGCAGUAGUUUAGGGUUAAAGAGGUGAAACAGACAAAAGACUCGGCGUAGGUUAUUUCUCCCUUUUUAGGUCCGAGCGAGGCAGCCAUGUUGUUGGCGAUGGGUAACGUUAGCUAGGCAGUGAGUGGAUAAAUGAUACGUGGCUUUAUUAAGAGUAUAAUCGAUAAAGGUCCGAUUCCGCUAAAGGUUGCGGUCAGUUGGCAUAUGUGUCGGUUGUGUGUGAGGAAUAACGGCCGAGCGUUUUCGGUAAUGUGUUCGCCUCUGCUUGGUCGCUUUUCGGGUAGAAAGGGGAGGAUCUGGGAGUCUGGCCGCAAUAAAAUGAAGGGUCAGUCGGAUCAGACAAGCCAGAGUCUGGCUACCCAUACCCUACUGUUCCUAGUUAGCAAUAGCGCUAUCUAGCAACGCUCGGUAAACUUCAUUUCCUCGGAAAUAAACGUCUAACUUUCGCCUAACAGUUUUCCUUCCAAAUCGCGGAACCGAAUUUGUUCGCGCUUGUUUAUCGUCGACUUUAAAAAGUGUGGAGAGAAUUUUUUUAUUUUUUUUUCCAAGCCCAUGUAUUUUUUUUUCUACCCCUCCCAGUCUGCAUGCAGGCUAUGUCAGAGUCAUGGUCGGUCACCUGAAGUUCAGGGUUUUUCCCCCUUCCCUUUGCAGCCAUUCAUUGCAGACAGACUACGAUCAAUAACGCGGUUAGAAAAGGGAAACGACAGUUAUGCUCUACUACGUUGCUUAAAAUAACGCUGUGUCGCAGCAGAAACCUAUUGUAAUUCCCGUGUAUUUGAUUUUUGGUGGGAGGUUGGUUUACUUUUGUACGUUUGACCCUCCGUAUCUUGAAUGUCCGUAUUGUGUCUUAAUCAGUCCAGAUAAUGAAAAGCUGUGAUAACACACUCCGGCCACUAGAGGAUUGCUUAGAUGGUAGUGGGCAAUGACAACGGUUACUAAAGGAAUUAUCCGAGAGUGACAUUUUUUUGGUCUUGAUCAUUUCUGCUUAAUACAUGCGUAAGCAAACAGCUCAAUUAGUCAUAUUGGUAUGCAAAUGUAGUGAAUAAUUGACUGACUCAUCUUUAAAUCAACGACGGCUUGAUACAUUUAUCUUAUGACACUACCUUCUUUAUUUCUUAAAUGUCAGACCAUGCCAGCUGUUCAGCAUAAGCAGCCACGAUGAAAAAAAGGUUACUUAAAGUUGUCUCUUUUACUCAGUUUACUUACAUGAAGUUAUCUUUUAAUUUCUAAAGGGUUCGAGGACAGAAUGAGCUCCUGCACUUCUCCCAGUUUAAUAUUUCUGACACAUUAAAUAAAAAAAAUAUACAUCACAGGGUAAUUCAUGCAGCUUCACACAAUAUACACACAUUUUGUGUUUUUAUUUUUUUAGUGGUAAUAUUCACUGAUCUACUGCUCAGGUGUUUGACCUAGGGUUGAACUUGGGAAAUUGCAGCGGUUGGCUGGGAGGCAUAGAGGUGGAGACUGGGUGACAAUGACACAAAAUCACCUCUGUGAGGAGCUUCAGUAUGCCAGAAAACUACACAGCAGGGUGAUGGCCUGUUCUUUUCGCACUUGUUCCAAAGAAUGUACCCCAUCUACUUGAGAAUGCUACCGCGACAUCCACGUCUAGGUUGAAUGAGGUUACUUUGUCAACCGGAAGAAAAAUUGAUGGGAUCUGAGUUGUAUAUCAAGUGGAUUGUAAUUAGAAAUGGUAAUCGGAGCUGCAUUCAUGACAAUUUAGCCUGAAAGCAACGGGAGUUAUGUUAGUUGAACAGUUGCGGGCAUAUGCUAAUUACUCAGUGUUUGAGAAGAGGAAAUUGUGAAAAGUAAAAAAGCACUGAAAAGAUGUCACUGUUAUGUCUCUAUAGUAGCUGUAAUAAACUGGUUACCAUCA